AGUAGUUCUUAUAAACAACAUAUUUUUGGAUUCUGGUUUCUAAUCCAUGCUGCUAUUCACUUCUGAUUUAUGGGUAUUCUUUCACUGAGUCACUUGGAAGUUAAGCAACCUGAGCAAACAUAUAUCCAAGGGCAAAGAAAAGAGCAGAAACUUGCUGUCUUAAGUCAACAUUCUUUUUAUCAGACUCCUAUUAAAAAGCCCAGGUAUUCAAUUCCACAUGUGGAGGGGAAAUGCAUCUUUUAUAACAGUAGAAAUCGGAGAACUGGUGCUUUGGCACCACUACUUACAGAAGUAAGUGACUUCAUUCCAUGUAUGUUAUACAUUUGAUUACUUAAGAAUAUGUAAUAGUCUCCUCUUUGUGUUCAUAAGAUAAUGGUCAGCCAUCACUGGGUUUGGAAAAUUUCCUCCAUCCAUUUUCAUUCAGUUAUGAUACAGCUGCUGAUAUAUCCCUGGUUCAAGGUGCAGGCCAAGAUGUAUCCAGGAUGAGUACCUUUUUAACAGAAGUACAAUGGGAACUUCCAAGUUUGGAAAAUUUCCUCCAUCCAUUUUCAUUCAGUUAUGAUACAGCUGCUGAUAUAUCCCUGGUUCAAGGUGCAGGCCAAGAUGUAUCCAGGAUGAGUACCUUUUUAACAGAAGUACAAUGGGAACUUCCAAGAGCCCCAAGAUUUUCUUGGGGGAGGCGAGAAUGCUGUUCUUGGAGGUGUAAUAAGGUGUUAAUUUCACAGCCAUUUUGUUUACUGGAUUGGACUAAAAAAAAUCAUAGAUUUUUCAGCUUUAAAGUAUCUUAAAGGUUAUAUAAUCUACUCUCAUUUUAUGGAUAAAGAAACUCAAGCGCAGAGAAGUGAGUAGUUUUGCCUUAUGGCACACAAGUAUUAAAUAGAAAAGAUCUGUCUUUAUUUCUGCUUCUCUACCUCUUAAUUUCUAAUUCACUUUGCUAUGUUCAAUGGGGAACAAGGAGUAUUGCCAAGACUAUAAGUGGGAUACCAUUGAUAAUGAUCAAAGGAUGUGAACAGGCAGUUUCAGAAGAAGUAAUUUUUAAAAUGU